GAUUUCUGGUGUGACGCACCUGGCCCGCCGCGGUUUCGCGUGUGAGUGCCGGUUUGUGUGUCGGCCAUCCUUCGUCGCCGCACCGCCCACUCUUCAGUGAGGAGGCGUGUGUGUGCACGAUCGUUUACUUUGAAAAAAUUAGAGUGUUUCAAGCAGGCGCUGCCGCUAUGAAUACAUUAGCAUGGAAUAAUAAUUUAGGACUUCGGUGCUAUUUUGUUGGUUUCUAGGACUGAAGUAAUGAUUGAUAGGGAUAGUUGGGGGUGCUAGUAUUCAGUGGCCAGAGGUGAAAUUCUCGGAUUCCCUGAAGACUAACUUAUGCGAAAGCAUU
rnacentral:rRNA from 1 species